GAUGAACGCUGGCGGCGUGCCUAAUACAUGCAAGUCGAACGAACGGACGGUAAGCUUGCGGCCUGGAUGUUAGCGGCGGACGGGAGAGUAACGCGUGGAUAACCUACUUAUAAUUCGGGGAUAACUUCGGAAAACCGGAGCUAAUACCGGAGAAUAUUUUGAACCGCAGGGUGCAAAAGUGAGAGACGGUGUUGCUGUCAGUUAUAGAUGGAUCCGCGCUGCAUUAGCUAGUUGGUAAGGUAACGGCUUACCAAGGCAACGAUGCAUAGCCGAACUGAGAGGCUGAUCGGCCACACUGGAACUGAGCCAGGGUCCAGACUACUACGGGAGGCAGCAGUCGGGAAUCUUACGCAAUGGGCGAAAGCCUGACGGAGCAACGCCGCGUGAGUGAUGAAGGUCUUCGGAUCGUAAAACUCUGUUAUUGGGGAAGAACAUAUGUGUCAGUAAAUGUGGCCAUCUUGACGGUACCUAAUAAGAAAGCAACGGCUAACUACGUG
rnacentral:rRNA from 1 species